AUUGAACGCUGGCGGCAGGCCUAACACAUGCAAGUCGAGCGGAUGAAGGGAGCUUGCUCCUGGAAUCAGCGGCGGACGGGUGAGUAAUGCCUAGGAAUCUGCCUGGUAGUGGGGGAUAACGUCCGGCAACGGGCUCUAAUACCGCAUACGUCCUGCGGGAGAAAGUGGGGGAUCUUCGGACCUCACGCUAUCAGAUGAGCUUAGGUCGGAUUAGCUAGUUGGUGGGGUAAAGGCCUACCAAGGCGACGAUCCGUAACUGGUCUGAGAGGAUGAUCAGUCACACUGGAACUGAGACACGGUCCAAACUCCUACGGGAGGCAGCAGUGGGGAAUAUUGGACAAAGGGCGAAAGCCUGCGCCGGCAAAGCCGCGUGUGUGAAGAAGGUCUUCGGAUUGAAAAGCACUUUAAGUUGGGAGGAAGGGCAGUAAGUUAAUAGCUUGCUGUUUUGACGUUACCAACAGAAUAAGCACCGGCUAACUUCGUG
rnacentral:rRNA from 1 species